UACGUAGGAGACGAGCGUUGUCCGGAAUUACUGGGCGUAAAGCGCGUGUAGGCGGAUGGGCAAGUCUGCUGUGAAAGCUCCUGGCUUAACCGGGAGUGGUCGGUGGAAACUGCCAAUCUGGAGGACGGUAGAGGUAGGUAGAAUUCCCGGUGUAGUGGUGAAAUGCGUAGAGAUCCGGAGGAAGACCGGUGGCGAAGGCGGUCUGCUGGGCAGUUUCUGACACUGAUGCGCGACAGCGUGGGGAGCAAACAGG
rnacentral:rRNA from 1 species